UUUUAGAAAUUAAUUAAAAGUCUAACCUGCCCACUGAAUAUUUUAAAUGGCCGCAGUAUUUUAACUGUGCAAAGGUAGCAUAAUCAUUAGUCUUUUAAUUGAAGGCUGGAAUGAAUGGUUGAAUGAAAUAUUAACUGUUUCAUAAAAAUUUAUAAUAAAAYUUUAUUUUUUAGUUAAAAAGCUAAAAUAUAAUUAAAAGACGAGAAGACCCUAUAAAUCUUUAUAUUUUAAUAAUUUUAAUUAUUUAGAAAAUUUAAAUUAUAAUUAUAAAAAAUAUUUUAUUGGGGUGAUAUUAAAAUUUAAUAAACUUUUAAUUUAUUAUUAACAUUUAUUUAUGAAUUAUUGAUCCAUUAAUAAUGAUUAAAAAAUUAAGUUACUUUAGGGAUAACAGCGUAAUUUUUUUAGAGAGUUCAUAUUGAUAAAAA
rnacentral:rRNA from 1 species